rnacentral:rRNA from 1 species
GAUGAUUACAUAAAAAUGUGAUCCCGAGAAAAAAAGAUCUAUAUUUUAAUUCAAAUUUUAGAAAGUUAAUCUUGUUGUGGCAGGAACAAAGUAAAAAAAGAAUAUAGUGAUGAAAUGUCCCCAAUUUUUUUGAUAUCUGGAUAAAAUUGAAAUGUAUUUAGUACAUGAGUGAGGUUGGAAGUAAUAAGAUUUUCAACAUGAGAGAAUCCUAGUGGAGAUUGGCAGUGGGAGUUAACAUUAAUCAUAUGCUCUUUUUAAAAAUUUAUUUUUAGUUUAUCUCAUAUUUAGAUUUUUCUUAUUUUAUACUUAAAAAAUAAGUGUUAAUGUUUAAAUUAGUUGAUAUUUUAGGUAAGCAGAAGGAACUCGGCAAAAAGCAUCUUCAACUGUUUACCAAAAACAUAUCUUAAAGAUUUUAAAUUUUAAGUUUCCUCUGCCCACUGAGAAAUUUUAAGGGCCGCAGUACACUGACUGUGCUAAGGUAGCAUAAUAAAUUGGCUUUUAAUUGAAGUCUAGAAUGAAAGAGGGCUUGAGGAUACCCUGUCUCCUGCUUAAUUUAUCGAAUUUACUAAGAAGGUGAAAAUUCCUUCAUAUAAUUACAUAAGACGAUAAGACCCUAUGAAUUAUAAUUAAUAAAUGUUCAAAGACAUUUACUUUUUUGUUGGGGCAACAAGUUUGGUGAACCAAACAGUGUAUAAAUUUUACAUAAAUAUAGUAUUAAACACGAAUUUAAUUACCUUAGGGAUAACAGCAUAAUCAAAUAUUUGGUUUGUGACCUCGAUGUUGGACUAAGAACUUUCUAGGUUAGCCACUUAUUUAAGCGUGUUCUGUUCGAACAAUUUCUCUUA